AUAGGUUUUUUUUGAAAGAAUAUUAUGUGGAAAAAUUAAUGUUUACUCGGUGGCUUUUUCAUUUCUAUAAUUCAAUGCAAUGAACUGGAUAGAGAUCACUUCUUCUGCUACAGUGAAGAUGAUCGUAUAGCAAGAUGGCAACUUCUUUAACUGAGGAGGAAACAUACUAUCUCAGAUUAGUGUCCUUGACAAUAGGUGUUGCGCCACAAGCUGUUCGUGAUUAUUUCGACAGUGUUUUUCCACCGAUUGAUCUUGCAACAGAGCUACAGAACAAGAAGAAGACACUAAAACACCUGCGGUUUUCUUUAAAGGUUUUGACAUCAGCACAAUGGUCUACUCUUUUUCCGACAGGUUCUGCAAAUGUAUCCUCAAAAGAUUUUGAUCUAACUUUAAUGAUAUGUCUGUUGAGAAAUGUAUCUGGUAUGGCACCACCUGCCUUUGGUUUUGACGUUCUUCCAUCUUCAACAGACAUAAGUGAAGCAGAUGACCUUGCUCGAAUGAAAUUUUUUCGAAAUAAAAUUGCACACUCUGACAAUGGAACACUUCCGAAAGCAGACUUCCUUGCGGCAUGGGAUAAUGUUAGCCAGGCUACAGAACGGCUUGGAGGAUUGGCUUAUAAACAAGUCUGUUUGGAUUUGAAAGGCGCAAAUCUUGACAGUUCAUCUUACACUGAUAUAUUACUGAAUAUUAGACAAGCACAAGAUGAAAAGAUAAAAGAUUUAGCAGACAAAAUAGAGAAUGUGUUAACGGAGACCCAAAAACCUAAACAGUCUUUCACAGAUCCAGUACCUUCAGCCUUAAGAGGUCUGUUUCAAAGUAAAAUCGCUUUGUGGGAGAAAAACGAUACAAUAUUUGAAGAAUCAAACUGUUCAAAACAGCUUCUAAAAAUGAUCAAGGAAAACAAUAUUGUCACCAUUACAGGCAACCCAGGUAUGGGGAAAAGUCUUUCAAUGAGACAUACCGCCUUGCAAAUGAAGUUAGAAGGAUAUGACAUAUUACCUAUUACAGAUCCAAAAGACAUAUUAACGUUUACAAUGCCAUAUAAUAAAGCACUCUACGUUAUUGACGAUAUUUGUGGUAAAUACAAUGUUGUUCAACAUUUGAUAGAAGUUUGGGAACUCUAUAGUCCUGAAAUCAAAGAAAUCAUUACAACCUCGAAAAGUAAAAUUUUAUCCAUUGUAGACUUCAAGUCUUCCAAAGCAAACAGUUUCAGAGUUUAGAUUUUUUAACAGAGACACAUUUUAAUUUUUUGUCAGUAGAAUAUUCUUUAACGACUGAAGAGAAAAGGUGUAUAGCAAAGAAGUAUUUACAAGAAGAUUUUGCAACAACAUUACCAGAGGAUGUUAUUGAACAGUAUGAUUGUUUUCCGCUUUUAUGUUCUUUAUUGUCCGAUACUGAAGACGACGAAAAAGCAAACACAUUCUUGAAAAGUCCAUACGAGGUAUUUGAAAAUGAACUAGAACAGCUGUAUGAAAAUGCUGAUCGACUAAUGUAUUGUUCGUUGGCCAUAGUUGUAAUAUUUAAUAACAGGUUAUGUGCAUCUAUGCUGCUUCAUUCGGUUGAUAAUUGUGAUAACGAAAUAUUUGAAGAUAUUUUCGAAGCAUGUGGUGAAUCGAAAACUAGCUCAAGAGAUCAUGUGAUCGAACAUUUAGAAUCCCUGAAUAGCUCAUAUAUAUUAAAACAUGACACAUUUUACAGCUACAUACAUCAUAAAUUAUUUGAAAUCGCUGCAUUUUAUUUUGCUAAGAAACCACUGCUUCUAAAUUGCAUGCUUAAGCACUGUUGUGCGACUUUUCUUUGUGAACGAUUUAUAUUUCAGUCUUUUUCCGGUGGAAAGCACGAAUUCCAAAUCAUCUUGCCUCAAAAUCUAGUAAAAAUAUUUUUUGAUAAGUUGUUAAAAGGCGUAAAUGUUGAUAAUGUUUUCGACAUUUUUGGCUGCGAGCUAAUGACCUAUGUAGAAUACAGGACAAGUCUUAUUUCUUAUAUGAAAACAUUAGAUAAGGAAAUAAAAGCUAAUCUACUACGUUUAUCUCGGGCUGGAUUAACCAUUGUCCAUCUCAUGUGUAAACUUGGAUAUACAGAUAUUAUUCGUUUUUGUAUAGAUGAAGGAAUUAAACCAAACAGCUAUCAAGAUAUAGGAGUCACUCCUCUUCACACAGCAUGUAAAUAUGAGAAGGAAGAAGUAGUAGAUAUGCUACUCAAAUUUGGUGUAAAUGCAAACAAAUAUAAAAGUGCCGGAUACACUCCGUUAUAUGAAGCAUGCAAAUCUGGGAAAACAAAUGUAGUGGAGAAACUUUUAAGGUAUGGGGCAAAUCCUUCUUUAUGUAGCGACAAUAGGUUAAUUCCAUUGUUAAUUGCCACUGAAAAUGAGCAUACGAAAAUUGUGCAUCUUCUUUUGAGAUACAGAGCUGAUGUGAACCAACAAGAUGGAGACCUAAAAUCAGCUUUACAUAUAUCCUGUAUGACUGGCAACGUUGAAAUAUUAAACUUUCUCAUCAGGUAUGGAGCAGAUGUUGAUAUUAAGACGACGAACGGAGAAACUCCUUUAUAUUUUGCUUGUGAAAAAUUACAUAUUAGCAUCAUCAAGUUGUUACUGGUAGAAAAUGCAGAUGUAUUCCAAUUCUCAACAAGGACAGGCUUUUCACCUCUCUCAGUGUUGUUAAAAAAAGACAAAAACGAACUGGGAACGGAUAUUUUAAAUCAUGUUUCAAAUAAAACCCGUUUGUAUAUUGCAUUUGAAAACGCACUAGAGAACAACGAUGUGAAGCUUGUAGACAUUCUAUUAAAAUCUGAUCUAUCUGUCAAUAAUACAUUAUCAUCAGGAAACAAAGCGCUUCACGUAGCUUGCAACUAUGGGAAUCUUUGUUUCGUAAAGAAGCUUCUUGAUUGCGGAGCAAGUAUUAAUUGUCGAAACGCAAAUUACGUUCAACCAAUACAGAUAGCAUGUCAAAGAGAACAUGAAGAUAUUGUGUCGUUAUUGGUUUCAAAAGGUGCAAAUGUAAAUGAUACUAGCACAAAGUGUGCUAUGCCCCCUCCACUCCACAUUUCAUGCAUAGUGAGAAAUGAAGAAAUAGCUUCAAUUCUUGUAAAUGGAAACGCAGAUCUGAAUGAAACAACAACAUUAACUCUUAGUUCAAUGUAUGAAUUCCGUAACCAGACCUAUAUCAAUAAACUUUUUAGUACUGUGGACCAAAACGUGAAAGGCAAUGUCACCCCAAUCGAAAUAAUAUGCAUGGAGAGAGAUUCGGGUUUGUUGCGUUUUUUUCUGGAAAACAGUGCAGAUCCAAAUAUGAAAACUGAUUUGUACGGAAUUCAUCCACUUUUGAUAGCUUGUUUUUAUAAACAAUCCGAAAUGAUUGAUAUGUUAUUGCAUCAUUGCUCAAAUGUUAAUAUAUGUGGAAGUAUAGAUAAUUUAUGCUUAACAAAUAUUAUGUGCAAUGACGACGAAGACAUUAUUGAGCUUAUUGCAUAUAGGCGGAAGAAAGUAACAUUAUCUACUUUCACGCCUUUGCAUAUUUCUUGCUUAAAAGGGGAUGAUUCUGCUGUGUCUUCAAUACUACAAUCCCGCGCAAGGACUGACAUUGCUACUCCUGUGUCACCUUUUGUGAUAUAUACCUUAAACUGUAAACGAUUGUUGAAGUUGGACUUUCAAGCUGCCAUUUAUUAUUUAAGCAAGUAUAGUGAGAUUAAAGACGUUCUUCCUAUACAUCUUGCAUGUUUUGGUGGAUAUCCUAACAUAGUCAAAUUGGUAAUUGAUCGUAUGAAUGUAAUGCCUGGCAAUUUAUCGUUACAAGUGAGCGCUUUUCAAGUUGCGUCGUUACAUGGGAAAUUUUACAAACGUAGAUUUGAAAUAGAAACACGAUGUUACAGCUUAAAUCCUUUGCAAAUUGCAUGUCUGGAAAGACAUUGGGAUAUAUGUAAAGUGUUAUUAGACAAAGGCUAUAAUGCAUAUUCGACAUUUUAUGUAUCCGACUUUUUUAUAUCUUGUUUUGAAAUCAGCAGUGCCAUAAUCCCAACGGAAUAUAAUACAAAAGUUUAUAAAACCUCCGUUAUAAAAUGUAUGUAUGAAAAUAAGGUUUAUGAUCUUAUCAAACACGUUCUGAAUUUAACAGAAGAUUUGGAAAAACCCACCGAUUGUGUUCUUCAUGCAUUAUUAACCUCUGCGUGCACAAAUGGUGAUCUUGAACUUGCUAAAACUAUUCUAGAGAGAUUUUCAAAUAUAGAUGAUGGGCAACCUGUUUCGUCCCUUCAUGCUGCAUGUGAACACAACAUGAUUGAGAUAGUCGAUUUUAUUUUGUCGACGAACCCUAAGAUGGACCAAAUUAAUGAACAUUUGGGUACACCUCUUCAUAUUGCCAGUAGGAGAGGGUAUGAAAGAAUUUUACAUUUACUACUCAAAAACGGUGCUAGUCCGUUUGCAUUGACGCGAACAGGAGAAAACGCCUAUCACUUAGCUUGUAAGCAUAACCAUGUUGACUGUUUUUCUCUUCUACAGCAGUUUACGGAUGAGCACAUUUACUCUAUAUACACCGAUAAUGUCCAUUUCACUAAUAUAUAUACAUCGGAAAAGAAAACGACAACUUAUUUUGCCUAUUUAAACAGAAAUGGAAUACUUCUAUCAAUACUUCUGAAUAAUUGUGCAGAUAUUAAUUUGCCUUUAGGUGAGGAUAACGAAACGUUACUUUUAAUUGCUUGUAAGGAAAGCCGUGUCGAAUAUGUUGACUUCUUCUUGAAAAGAUCGGCUGACGUCAAUGUAACAAACAUUAACGGAGAAACACCACUGUUAAUUGCAUGUGCAAACGGAUAUGACCCCAUAAUAAGGCAGUUAUUAGAGACAAACGCUUCUGUGAAUAUUCAAGGAAAUAAUGGAUACUGCCCAUUAUAUUUUUCUAACAACAAUAACUCUGAAAUAACAGAACUGUUAUUAAAGAAAAACGCAAAUCCAAACUGUUUAUUACACAAUGGAACAGAAAAUUUAUUAAUAAAUGCAGUAAAACGUAAAAGUUAUAACGCAGUUGAGCUUUUACUAAAAUAUGGUGCUGACGUGAACUUCAGCUAUAGUCCCGGACAACCGGCAUUAUUUUUUGCAUUUGAAAAUGGUGAUACGAAGAUGAUGAAAUGUCUACUAAGAUAUAAUGCAGACAGUAAUGUUUGUUCACACGAACGAUCAAAGUACUUAUAUCAAGCCUGUGUUAGAGGAAUGGUUGACAUUGUAGAACUUAUUAUGUUUCAUGAUUGUACCUUGGAUCCAAAUGAUGUGCAGACUAAUGGAGAAACAUCAUUGUUUGCGUGCUAUAAAGCUAUGAACAAAAGUAAUAUUGAGACUGUUACUCGUCAUUUAAAAAUAGGACGUUUGCUAAUGAGAUUUGGGGCCGAUAUCAAUACAAAAACUACUGAUAAUGAUGCACCUUUUAACCAGUUAUGUUUGAAUGGUACACUCGCUGAAGUUGAGUACAUAUUAGAGAAUAACAGUGUGAGCCAAGACCUAAUUAUGAAAGAAAUACAGGAUCCCCGUAUACAAGGGAGGUAUACGCUCUUAACAUUAUUAAUAUUUUACUUUCGCAAACCGAUCCUGACAGAUUUGUUUUAUGACAUUUGGUUCGAUGCUGUUGAAAACGCUCAGUUAGAAAUUAUAAAUUUAUUAAUUGAGAAGGGAGUUGACACUAAUAUGAUUCGUCACACGGACAAACAUUGUGCACUGCAUAUAGCGAGUGAAAUGGGGAAUAUAGGCGCUGUAAAAAGCAUAUUGAAACAAUUUAAUACUAUACCAAAUAUGAAAUCCGCUUCAGGCCAUACUCCCUUGCAAGUAGCGUGCCUCAAUAGUCAAGUUGAAAUAUAUGAAUCACUAGUCAAAAGUGAAGCUAAAAUAACAGACAAAACAGCUGACGGAACCGACAAAAACAUUCAUUUUGCUUGCAGAUAUAUGGAUAAUUAUCUUCUUGCACAGCUCUGUACUACAAAAAGCAAUUUAUACUGCGUGAAUGAAAAUGGUUUGACUCCUUUGAUAAUAUCAAUUUGUAUGGGUGACUUGAGAAACGUAGAUGUUUUGUUAAAUCAUGGUGCACCUGUAGACCAGGACACUUUAAUUUAUUACAAAGAAGUCGAGGAAUUGUUUGGAACAUCAAGCAUUUGUAUGACACGUGCAACGCCCCUCCAUAUUGCAUGCUGGAAAGACGAUUUUCGAAUUGUUCAACAGGUUCUCGCUGGAAAUGCUACCUGUAGUUUGUUAAUGCACAACUAUUACAAUUUGUCAGCUGACGAAAAAGAAUGUGACAAGUUAUCACCAUUAUGCAUAUCAGUUUUACGAAAUAAUUAUAGUACAGUAACAUUACUCCUACAGGGUAUACCAAAUUCAGAUCUCCAUAUAGAGAAUUCUAUGUUUACGUCCUCGUUAUUUAACCAGGGAAAUAAAAGUAGCAAAGAAUGCUAUAUGGAUAACAAAACUUACCUAACACCAUUUCAAGCAGCAUGUAUUUUAGGUUAUGUUGACAUCGCUGAAGAGUUGUUAGAAAAUCACGUUGAUGUUAAUCAGAGGUUUAAAGUAACUCCAAUAAUUCUUUCGAUUUGUGCUAGGAACCAUGUUCUGAUGCAGAAAUUUCUUUCUUCCAACGGUUUCAUUGACAAGAACUUUGAAAUUGAGGUUACUCCGUUAAUAUUUUCCGUUCUUGUUGAAAACUUGGAAUUACUUAAGAUGUUGCUAUCUAACUAUGCAGAUCAUGAAUCCGAGGUAACAAUUUGUUUGUUACAUGUGAUUCCAUUUCACGAAGAUAUCCUCAAUGUGCUGACUAGCGAAUCUUUAGAUUUAGAACAGCUUUUGCUGUCUGAAUGCACAAUGAAUCCAUUUCUCAUUGCUUGUUUAAAAGGCAAUAAUGAUAUGUGUCGCCUGUUUUUUUCGAAGUAUGCUGAUCCGCUUUAUGCAACACAACUGACAGCCAUGCAUGUCAUUUGCUUUAAAGGCUAUGAUAAACAUCUUAAAAUUAUGAUAGAAGAACGUCUACAACUAAGCAGGUACUUUCGAAUUCAGUGCAGUCAUUUUAUAGCAAUAGGAAAUCUUGUUGAAAUAAAUGAUGAACUUGUUACAUUAUCUACUGGGUGUAAUGAUGUAUUGCAUAUUUCUAAUCUAGAACUGGCAUGUAUGGAUGAAGACGUGUAUAUUCUAAAGCACAUUCUGGAUAUUUUGCCUGAAAAAAGUUAUAAUAGUGUAAUGAAAAUAACACCACUACUUUUAUCAUAUUUGUUCGAAAAUUGUGCCCAACUUGGAAUAGGCAUAUUUUUGUCUAAUGCCGAUUUGUGCAGUUGUAUAUCUUAUAAUCUGAUGAUUUCUUUGUUUUUUUAUAAACGAUACGGAGACACAGGUCAGCAUUCGAAAAAAAUUACAUUCGAUGAUAGCAUUCAGUUAAGUGACUUGAGUUUGCUUUUAAAAUUUUGUUGCGCGGGUACUUCAGCUAUAUAUGAAUUUAGUGAUAUGUUUGAAGCAUCUGAUACAGCUUCCGUCGGUAAAAUUAUUAAAGACCGAUUAACUUGUUGUGAAGAAAAUUUAUUGACCUCAUUUUUGCUAGAUUUUAAUGAAAACAAAGAUGAUGAAACAACAGUUUUAGAAUUACUACAACACACUGAUGUUUGCAAAAAGAUGUUUAUAGUAAAUUGUGCAUACCUACUUUUGUUUAGAAAUAGCAGGCUUGACUCACUGCCAUUGUCAGCAUACAGUGAACUAUCACAUGAACCACUAUCAUUCACGGCAGUUGAAGCUUUUCACUUAAUUCAACGACGAAUUCCGCAUUGUUUUCUAUCAUCAACUGAAGCAAAAUAUAGGUCACUUAAAAUUAGUCCACUCAUGAUAGCUUGCUUACACGAAAACAUGGUAAAUGUCGAAUUUAUUUUGCAGAAAAGGUUUGCUAUCAGUCAAACAAAUGAGUUGAGCCUUCUGCUUCUGGCUGGAUUUCGGGACUACAAAUAUGGAAACACAUUAAAUACGAUUGUUUCUAGUAAAAACAUCGAUGCGAAAAUAAAUGCAUUGCACGCUGCAAUUAUCAUGGGGAACAUUGAAAUGACAAGAAUGCUUCUGGCAUAUGGCUGUUGUGUAAAUACUUCAGCAUUUCUAACACCUAUACAUAUUCCUGUAAUUCAAAAAGAAAUGUCUGAAUUUAGUUUUGAUGAUCAAUACGAUCUAACAAUAUUUCAUGAUGUAGCUACUGAAGAAGAUAGAAUAAACUGUAUGAUUGUACCAUUAGAAAUAAACCCUAUACACUUAGCAUGCUUUCGUGAGAAUAGUACUGAUUUUGUGAGAUUAUUGGCAGGGAGACAAUGUACUUUACUAUCAACUGCAAAGCUGUCGACACUGGGCUUUUACAUGUUAGGAACAUCACUCGAAUACUCUAAUUUUUCGUUAAAACAUAACACGUUAGAGGCUUUUUCCGAAUUAACACCUUUGAACAUUGGAAGUUUGAUUAAUAAUGCUCAUCUCGUUGAAAUCCUACUGAGUAAGCAAAACAAAAUUGAUUCUGUGGCAUCUGUUUUCCCUCUUCAUAUGAAUACCAGUCACUGUUCAGACAUCGUUGAUCUAAUUACAAACCAAUCCGUAUUCAUGUAAACAUCACUUAACAUGGCACUUUUAAAUCAAAAUUCUGAUAUUGUUGAUCUAUUAAUUAAAAACGGAGCAAAUGUGGAUAUGUCAACAUCAUUAUUUAUGGAAAUAAGCAUUGACGAUAUGUUCAUCUCUACCUACUCUACUCUGAAGGCUAUUCAUUUAGCAGGUAUUGUAGAUGAGGAUCACAAUUUUAGAACCAUUCUUUCAAAAACCAAAUCUAUUAAUGAGAAAUGUGCAAUUUCUGUGUGGCAUUUAUGUUAUCUGGAAGCAAUUAAUGGUGUAAAAAUGUACCAAGCAUUUGACCGGGAAAUAGAACUCCAUCUCAGCGCUUUACAUAUAUGUUGUAUAACUAGAGAUUGUGCCCGUGUAGAAAUGCUACUAAAGUCGGGAGCAAAUUGCAACAUACCAGCAGAAAUUCCAUUCGUUUACACAAAAUUUAAAUCUGCAAUUCGUUUGUCCAAAUAUCCUUUACAUUUAGCUGCAGAGAGUGGUAAUUUAGAUAUGUGUGUUUUAUUGCUGAAGUAUAGCGCAGACAACGAAGUGAAGACAAACGUUAUAGGAUUCAAACCAUGGCAGUUAGCGUUAUACCAUGGACAUGCUGAUGUAUUGGAAUGUCUUGUUACCGUGCGUACAAGCAUAAAUAAAUCUUCAUUUAUGUUUACUUUGCUCUUACAUUUAAUACGAACCUGUUUUGGAAAAACUGUUCUUAAGUUUUUCGCAAAGUCGAAAUAUGCCAUUGUGCUUCUGUCAUUUUAUAGAUAUUUGAUGAAUGUGCUUGGAUUUUGUUUCGUGUAAAGAAAUUUCAUCGGAAAUAAUAUCGUUUUAGUAACUUUUUGAAAGCGAAUGACAUAAAUAGCUGAAGAAUUAAUCCGACCAUAUAACUGGAAAUUUAUCUGUGACAUGUGUUAUCAUUUCUGAAAUGAUAAUUUGGUUCGUUGAGAUGAACAUGUGCAUUUAAAUUUUGUUGACGUUUAUACCUACCGGUAAUUUAACCAACGACCACGUAUUGAUUAUAAACACAGGUGUACUGUGGUCGUUACUUUAAAGAAGAAGUAGAUAAUUUCACGGGUGUCAUUCGGUAUAUCGAAAAAAUGAACGGGAAAGAAUAAGUAACGGUGGUCAAGUAUUGCGAUAGGAUCGUGAAAGUUCUAAAAUCGGAUCCUGAAUGAAAUCUUAUCGAGAAGACACUUGCAAGGUCAAAAGAUAAAUUAAAUGAUAUGUUGAAUCAUAAAGACAAAUUUUGAAAAAAAAAAUGAAACUGUCUGUCAAGAUAGUUCGACAUUAUGACCAGUAUCUGAGAAAAUCAGUCUUAAAUAUUAUCGUUUUUACAAAACUGCAAAAGGCAGAUUGCUCUUCAACAUUUCAAAAGACAUAAGAAAAGUAAACAAACAUGAUUUUUUUCCUGAUAUGAAUGACUAAAUUACUUUUUUUCUGAACAAUGUCGUCCUAUAGUAAUGUUUUAAGUGAUCUCGGUAUUAUUUUGAAGUACCUUCAUCAGAAAUUUGUUAAAAUUGGCAUAUUUGUAUAAAUUUGAUAUUGAUGAUCGUGAAAGAUCAGUACAACUUUUUUUAACUCGUGAAAAGGAUCGUGAGAGAUCCGUUGUCGCUUAUUAGUAAUUGCACAAAUUAUUGAAAGUGUUCAAAUCAUUUUGUAAUUAUAUGAAAAUUUAUUAUGUAACUGGUACAGCAAAAUACCGAACUUCCGUGACUUUUUCCGCUUCUUUUUUUGUUAGGGAAUCAUCUGUUAGGCUAUGAUCUUUCAAUUCCAUUUUGUCUGUUUUAUACUAAGACCAUUCUUCAACAUUUUAUGUGGUUAUCAUAAGUCAAGAAUUCCUCAUCCGAUUUCAAUAAUGUUAUAAUAUAUCUAUAAGAGGAAGAUCAUUUUCGAUUUUUUAUUUUGCUUUUUUAAAGGGGGGACAUUUAAGUUUAAAAAAAUUGCAAAUUUUGAGAACUAUCUGUUUUAGUUAGAAUUUCAAUAGACAAUCAUAAUCGACUACGGGGAUUUCCAAUUUACGGCAUGUACAAAUUGGGGUAAAAUGUGGUAAAAAGUUAUUGUUUCUUUCGUGUUAGAAUUAAUAUGCCAUUAUUAAUUUGUUCUAGAUAUCAAAAAUUAUCCGUCGGCUGCAGUUUUCGAUAUGAUUGUCAAGUUGUAUGAACAAUUUCACAGAAUAAAUCUUAUAUAUUAAAAGAACAUAUUUAAAAGUUGGGUAAUAUCAGGGGGUGGACAAACAAAAAAAAAACUACAAACUUCAAAGAAAUAAGAAAACAGGUAAUUUGGAAAAACAAUCUGAUUAAUUUUGAAAAUAAAACCACUAUUUUUGAAAAAUGGAUAAAGAGUAACUUGAUAUUUGUUAAUGAUAUUAUAGAUGACACAGGUGCUAUAUCUCAACAUUUUAUUUUGGAAACAUUAGUCUGUAAGAUAGGCAGAAAUAAAUAUUGUGAAAAAAGCCAUCCCAAAAGAUUUGCUUCAGAUGCUAAAGUCUGAAAAUUCUAUUAAGAGUAUUGUAAAUAUUCAUGGAAAGGCAAUUAAAUUGAGGCUUCAAAUUUGUAAAGAUAAAACUGAACCCGCAAUUGAUGUUAGCAAAUUGAUGCGUAUUUUACAAAUUAAUGAGCAUCCUAGUAUAAAUAAAUUAUGUUUUUUCGUGUUUCUUUAUGUAGAAGAGAAAAAGUUAUAAGUCUAAAUUGAAAACAACGUUCAAACCUAUGAUUGCGUUGGAUAAAAACCGCAUUUUUUAUACGUGUGCAUGCAAAACAAAUUUCUUGGUAGAUGGGGUCUAAAUACAGCACAAACAACAUUUUCCAAAAGACCAAAAUAGUGAAAAAGUAUAUUUUAACAAAACAAAUUUGACUAGCAGGUCGAACAACGGAUGUUCUUAAACUCUGCUGACUGCCAUUGGCGAUUGCCAAAUAAACGGAUAACUAGAUGUAACAAAAUGAAUCUUAACUAUAUAUAUAAGUCUAAAUUGAAAACAACGUUCAAACCUAUGAUUGCGUUGGAAAAAACCGCAAUUUUUAUACGUGUGCAUGCAAAACAAAUUUCUUGGUAGAGGGUCUAAAUACAGCACAAACAACAUUUUCCAAAAGACCAAAAUAGUGAAAAAGUAUAUUUUAACAGAACGCAUUUGACUAGCAGGUCGAACAACGGAUGUUCUUAAACUCUGCUGACUGCCAUUGGCGAUUGCCAAAUAAUCGGGUCACUAGAUGUAACAAAAUGGAUCUUAACUAUAUAUACAAGUCUAAAUUGAAAACAACGUUCAAACCUAUGAUUGCGUUGGAUAAAAACCGCAAUUUUUAUACGUGUGCAUGUAAAACAAAUUUCUUGGUAGAGGGGUCUAAAUACAGCACAAACAACAUUUUCCAAAAGACCAAAAAAGUGAAAAGUAUAUUUUAACAAAUCGCAUUUGACUAACAGGUCGAACAACUGAUGUUCUUAAACCCUGCUGACUGCCAUUAACGAUUGCCAAAUAAAUUGAUCACGAGAUGUAACAUGGAUCUUAAUUAUUAAUUUAAUAACAAACAGAAAACAAUAAACUUGCGGAGAACAUGGUAUACCGCAAACAUGAGGUGCAAAAAUUUGUACACCAUAUCCGGAUUUCGACAAUUAAUGUCUCUUCAGUGAUGUUAGGGAUCGAAACGGUAUUUGGACGGCCAUAUAAUUUACCUCAAUUUAGGAUAUAUCGGCUUUAUCUAGGGUUGUAACACAGAACAUGAUGUAAAAUGGCAAGUAGUUGGUAUACCUUGCAGGAAAACUUCUAUUUGAUUUGUGGAUGCUACAAAAGUAAUAUAGAAGAAACAACGAGUAAAGAAUGGCGGAAUUGUAGAUACUUAAAAUACAUAAAAUAGAAUAUGGGUACUGAAUUCUCAAAAUGACAUUGAAUAAUUAAUUGAAUCUACUGUCCAUCAUAGAAAGUAGCCAUUCAUGUUUCACCACAAUUUUGAUACUGCAGCUGUCACUGUAAAUCAACUAAUUUUCAUGAUCUAUUUUUAUUCGCGGCCUUCAAGAGUGUCAAAAUAACGCAAAUAUAUAACACAACGAAAAUGAUGUUCUUGGACCUUCUUUUAUCGGAAAGCAUCCACAAUCUUGGCAAGUUGCAACAAUAAAUCACCAUGACGAUGGCUAGAAUAUGAUAAUUUAAGGCAACAGUAGUUUUCCAAUGUUCGCUCGAACAUGCAAAUCAAGAUUAAAACCAAGCUUGAGGGAAUCGCGUGUACUCCUUCAGAAUCGAUACCGGGUGCUUCGAAAUGGUAAUCGUAAUUGUGUUGCAUGUGUCAUAUUCUAUGCGAAUCCACACUUAUCAAAAAUGUUACAAUAGGGAAUAGGACACAUUCGACUUUCUCUGGUACUAGUAUCUAAAGAUAAAAAAUUGCUUAAACUUGUCAGCAGUGAUUUGAGAGACCAACUUGAAAAAAGUAUUCGGGAAAGUAAUACUUCUGAUAACAAAUGAAUUAUAAGAAGUAUGCAAAAUCUAUCUUUUUUAUUUAGAGCAAACAACGCAGUAUAAUUCAAGUUUGUCAUGAUAAGGUGGACAAGGAAGUGAACCACAUUUGGUACCAACCAUAUAAAGGAGAUGACCAUUGUCGUUGCGCUCUCCACUCGGAAUGUAUUCCGGUUGACCGUCAACGCAGAUGAAUGAAGAUGCUUUGCAAUUAUAACAUCCUGAGGCUAAAUAUCCCAUAUACUCCAUUUGCCAUCCAGCGUAACACGUUUUACGCCCGGGGAUCAUUAAUGAAGAGAAUCUGUUUGGAUUACGACAUACUGCACAUGGUACAUCUUCAUUCGCAGAGUUGGACGCAAAGGAGUUUUCCUCGUACCAUAUAUUAAUGUAUUUCCAGGGGAAGUGCGAUUAGUGAGUUCAGGGUCGGAAGGGAGACACAGCAUAUUAGACGGCCCUCCAUAUACAGAACCUUGACUAUAAACGUUGCCAGCAGCAUUACCUAAAGCAUAAUUGAAAACAAUAUUUAAAAAUAUAAAGUCAUUGUCCCAGCAAGAUGGAUAACUAAGUAAGGACAGCGCUAUAAAUAGCCAAAAUCUAGAUAUUUAUAAAACGUUUUAUAUUA